AUCAGAUUUAUUUUAUUUAUUGUGCCACCAGUCAACCUGUUGCCAUGUUUUACCAGAGGCGUUCUGUGAUUGGCCAGCACUCCCCUCUCCAGUCCAGCACUGUCAUGCCUCAGUCAGGGAGCCAGUGCCACUAUGUCAUCAUCAUCAGAGUGAGUCAUGAGUGGGCUGUGGGGUGAUACAGCGUGGACAGAAGUGACAUUGAACGAAGUGUGAUGUGUCCAAAAAAUAAUAAUACAAGUGGUUCUCAAUAGUUUGACAGAGGAGUUGAUAUUGAAUGGAUGGACAAAUAUUUCUCAGACUAAAAUAUGAAUAACCUAUUCCCUUUACACUAAACGGUGCUCUGCUAUUCUUUCUGUUAAAUGGAAGCUUCACUGAAGCAAGUGUGCAAGGGAAACAAGGUCACUUGUAAACUCAGUGGCAGAAACUGAAAAAACAAUAAAAGUAGGAGUUUCAGCCAGUCUAGUUUUAAAACAUUACAAUUAAAAACAAAGGAAUAGGGUAGGGUUUCAGAAUUGUCUAAAAAGGAAAUAAGUGCACGUCUUGAAGCUAUUCUCCCAUUAUAAACAGUUCAUAUUAACAAAGUAAAGGCAGCUUCGAUUUCUUAACCAGACCGUGAAAUAGUCAUGUUGACCCCUCUUGGACGGGAGUUUCAUUGUUGUAGAAAUGCUUAUGGACUACCAGUAACAUUAAAGUGGUAGGUAGAUGACAGAAGACUCCUCACUUUGUUGGCAUACAGAGCAUGGACAGUACUGCACUGCAUAUACACUGAUACAGAAGAGGCAGCUAGCCCAGAGCCAUGUACUUAGAGAGUUGGGCCAACGAGGUUUCUGCAUUAUAAUGUAUUUGCAUGACUGUCUAGUAUUAGAACAAUAUUCAAUAUUCUAAAAGUUUGCCUAACUCUAAAUAUAUGGCUCUAGCUAGGCCUAUAUAGCAUAACUGUGACUAGACCCUUUGAGAAGCGAUGUAGUCCACUGUGAAUAUGAUGAUGCCACACUGGAGAGCCAGGCCACUGUAGCCUAGAAUUAUUACCCACAUCAGUUAGGCAUUUCCUCUGACACACACAACCCCCAGUGGCAUUGCUUUGCAGUGAUCAUGGACAACAAAGACAUUUCACAUCUCAAUGUUCAAGAAACAAAACAAAAAUGUAAAACAUGAUAAUGUCACAGUAAACAGAACUCAUGAGAGAAGAGGACUCUCUCCCACCUUUAACUUGUCUCCCAGCUGGUAACUCAGAACAUUAUUAUUCUUCCUCCUCCAGUUGAGCUAGCUGGGUCAGAUAUGUGAUAGUGACGCUGCAACGUUCUAGCAGCACUUUUAUACAAAAGACAUGUAAGUAAGUGAAGAGGAUGCCACGUCACCAUAUUGUGA
ensembl:lncRNA